rnacentral:tRNA from 1 species
GGGUAUAUAGCUCAGUGGUAGAGUGUGUGCAUGUGCUUAGCAUGCAUGCGGUCCUGGGUUCAGCUCCCAGUACCUCCA